CCUACGGGAGGCAGCAGUAGGGAAUUUUGGACAAUGGGCGAAAGCCUGAUCCAGCAAUGCCGCGUGUGGGAAGAAGGCCUUCGGGUUGUAAACCACUUUUGUACGGAACGAAACGGCUCGCUUUAAUACAGCGGGCUAAUGACGGUACCGUAAGAAUAAGCACCGGCUAACUACGUGCCAGCAGCCGCGGUAAUACGUAGGGUGCGAGCGUUAAUCGGAAUUACUGGGCGUAAAGCGUGCGCAGGCGGUUAUAUAAGACAGUUGUGAAAUCCCCGGGCUCAACCUGGGAAUUGCAUCUGUGACUGUAUAGCUAGAGUACGGUAGAGGGGGAUGGAAUUCCGCGUGUAGCAGUGAAAUGCGUAGAUAUGCGGAGGAACACCGAUGGCGAAGGCAAUCCCCUGGACCUGUACUGACGCUCAUGCACGAAAGCGUGGGGAGCAAACAGGAUUAGAUACCCUGGUAGUCCACGCCCUAAACGAUGUCAACUGGUUGUUGGGUGCNUAGUACUCAGUAACGAAGACUACGCGUGAGUAGACGCCGUGGGAGGUACGGCCGCGAAGGUUAGUAACGUUACGAAAGUAAAGUUAGUUACGGCGUUGAGACGNGCGACGGACGACGACGAGGGAGGAGG
rnacentral:rRNA from 1 species